rnacentral:rRNA from 1 species
UACGGAGGAUCCAAGCGUUAUCCGGAUUUAUUGGGUUUAAAGGGUGCGUAGGCGGCCUAUUACGUCAGGGGUGAAAGACGGUAGCUCAACUAUCGCAGUGCCUUUGAUACUGAUGGGCUUGAAUAUAGUAGAGGUAGGCGGAAUGUGAGAAGUAGCGGUGAAAUGCAUAGAUAUGUCACAGAACACCGAUUGCGAAGGCAGCUUACUAGGGAAUUAUUGACGCUGAGGCGCGAAAGCGUGGGGAGCAAACAGG